GCCAGUGUGGCGUAGUGGUUUGAAUGUUGGACUACAACUCUCAAGAUCAGGGUUCAAUUCCCAGCUCAGCCG